rnacentral:lncRNA from 1 species
CCAGCUGCAGGCGCUGGUGUUCGGCAUGGCCGGCUGCAUCGAGACCUUGGAGAGGCGCCUGGAAGCCGUGGAGACACUGGCAUCUUCCUGCAGCCCUCAGAAGAAUACUGCCCAGAGCCAGCAGCUCUUCCUGCCAGGUAGGCACUGCCAGGGGCACCUGCCCUGAUCCUGCUGUCCUGCCUUCUCCUUCCCAGAGGCUGCUGGUCCUGUGUUCAUGUGCUCUUCAGCACACACCGAGUGCCCUCGGCUGUGGCUGCUGUCAGGCACCCACUGUCCUGGUGCCCUUCCCGGCAGAGCAGGGGCAGGGCUCACUGUGGUGGCUCUCGGGGUAUCUGGGGUGCUCAGGUCAGAGGCUGGUCAUCACCAGCCUCAGAAGAAGGGCAGGCUUUGCUGUGCUUCCAGACUGGGGGUCGGGGCAGGUCCGUGGCUCCUUUGGGAGAGGAGGCCAGGCUUGGCCCUUCCUCUCCAUGGCUGCUGGCCCUGCCAGGCUGGGCUGCUGGAAGCUCGCCCUGGCCCUGGAGGGACUGGCAGGGCUGACAGAACACCUGGCUGACCUGCAAUCUGCAUCCUGCCUAUCCUUGACUGAGGCAGACCCCAGCCCCAGGAAGAACAGGGCUGCUGGCUCAGCUUUGCCAGCCAAAAGGAAGGUUCCGGGAGAGUCUCUCAUUAACCCUGGUUUCAAAAGCAAGAAAGCAUCAUCUGGAGUGAAUUUCGAGGACUCCUGAGUGGUGCUGUCCUGUGCCCUGAUGACAGCCCUGUGGAGCCCUAUCAGCAUGCGCGUGGGUGGAGGAGAGAGUGCCCGGUGUCUGGGGCCAGCUGAGCCCCUCUCACCCAGGGAGGCAACAGAGCCAUCAGCACAUGGCAGCUGACCCUCCACUGGGGUGGUGGCCGGGCCUUUGAGGAGACACCAGUGGUUGCUUUCUUCCCAGCAGCUCUUCCCUGCUGGCAGGGGCCACCUCUUGACUUCAUUUUCCUUGAAUUGGUGGGGUUUGGAAGGAAUUUUUGUAGCACUGCAGAACGGAAGGAUUGCCUGUGCUUAUCUUCUUUCCAGUAAAGGUGUUUUUAGCCAGCCAGUCUCUGUGGAUGUGUCGGUGUAUUCUGCCUCUCCCGUUCCCAGGAAGCCUUGGGCCAGUUUC